GCAGGGGACUCAUCUUGACAAAAGGUGCCUCGGCGCCGAAAGGCGCCGAGUGGACGGGACGAAUUCAGGGAAACCUUCCAGCGCCUCGGGUGGCUGAUGGCGAUCCUGAGCCGAGCCGGCGGUACACCGCCGGAAGGUGCAGAGACUACCUGGGGGCUUUAGUGCCCUUAAUGACAGGCUAGAGCGUCCCGCACCCGGACGCCGCAAUUGCGGUGGGGUGAAGAGAUAGUCCGCGCCCAUGGGAAACCAUGGG
rnacentral:ncRNA from 1 species